rnacentral:rRNA from 1 species
AACGAACGCUGGCGGCGUGGAUAAGACAUGCAAGUCGAGCGGGAUCAUUGGAGUAGCAAUACAACAGUGGUCUAGUGGCGAACGGGUGCGUAACACGUGGAUACAUUCCGGGAAGCGGGGGAUAGCCCAGGGAAACUUGGAUUAAUACCGCAUGUGGUCGAAAGACUAAAGGCAGGGACCGCAAGGCCUGCCACUUCCCGAUUGGUCCGCGGCCUAUCAGCUAGUUGGCGGGUAAAAGCCCACCAAGGCUACGACGGGUAGCUGGUCUUAGAGGACGACCAGCCACACUGGAACUGAGACACGGUCCAGACACCUACGGGUGGCAGCAGUCGAGAAUCUUUCACAAUGGGGGCAACCCUGAUGGAGCGACGCCGCGUGGAGGAUAAGGUCUUCGGAUUGUAAACUCCUGUCAUGUGUGAACAAGGCUGUCGUGUUAAUAGCAUGGCAGAUUGAUGGUAACACAAGAGGAAGAGACGGCUAAACUCUGUGCCAGCAGCCG